rnacentral:snRNA from 1 species
AGUAUCGUCGUUUAUGAGAUUUAUCCGAGGCACGAUUAUUGCUCGUUGAAAACUUUACCCAAC